GCGAGUCACAUGUCAAUGAAAAGGGCAGAUUAGCAUGACAAAACCUUACCUGUUAGCACUAUAGCUAAGUACACAGCCAAAACUUACAUUAUAUGAACAGAUUUCACUUUACGAAUUAACUAUAGAGCUUUAGGGAGGAAUUUCUUCAAUAUGUUGGAUUAAAUUCAUUAAUAUAGAGGGAAAUAUGAAGUUAUAAGAAAUUUUAACGCAGAAAAAACAGGUUUGACAGAUAAACAACCUUCAGGAUGAGUGUGGAGAAGUUUGAGAUUAGCCUAGAGCAUGACAUCGAUGAGCAAUACCAGUACCAACCGGGUGAGACAUUACGGGGCGCUAUCACCAUACGCCUCGCUGGAACAAUUCGUGUCAAAAUCAUUCAGAUUCAGAUCAAGGGAGAAGCCAGUGUCAGUUGGGAUAUGGAAAAUGUGGAGCAGUCUGGGAUGGAACAAUUCCGCUCCGAGCAAACAUAUGUCGAUGUUUCGCAACCGUUAAUUACAACAAUAGAUGGCGAGAGUAUGGUUCUGGAUGAGGGUAAUCACGCAUUUCCAUUUGAGUAUGAACUUCCAGCAAAUAUUCCAUCUUCCUUUAUAGGCAAAUAUGGUAGUAUCACAUACGUUGUCAGGGCAACCUUGAAAGAAGCCCAACAAAUAGGGCUCGGGACUCUCAUCACGAGUGAACCAUUCCUCGUAUUGAGGACAUUAGACUUAGCAAGGGACACAAGACUCCUUAAACCGAUUUCUGAGAAGAUAGAAAAGAGAUUUUGGGGAUUUUGUAUAUCUGGCAAGGUAUCUGUAUUCAUCAGAGUAAAUCGAAGAGGACACGUCCCCGGUGAAGAUAUUUUCAUUGAUGCUGAUAUCACGAACAGUAGCCCAAGGAUUGUUAGGGCCCUCCAAGCCUCACUUGUAAUGCGGAGUGAAUUUCACGCCAAACGUAGAAUGCGCGAAUUUCAACAGGUCGUUAACAGAAAACGAGAUGAGUGGGAAAUGACCUCUGGUGAAGGUCGACGAUGGCGGAAUGUUCGUCUCACAAUCCCGCCAUAUAUCCCAGAAUCCCUUCUGUCAGGGUGUGACAUUAUGGAGAUUACUUAUGAAUUAGUGUUCGUUGUCGAAAUAUCCGGCGACAAGACUCUAAAUCUUGUAGUCCCUAUUACUAUUGGAACCGAAGGCAGUUUAUUACGACGUGGAACUUAUAGGGAUGAAGAGAACAAUAUAAAGGAGCAUACGGAGGAAAUUCCAGGUCAAGAAAGACACACCAAGGCUAACCCUCCAACAGCUCGUGUGUGGAGAAACACGACAGGUCCAAAUAAACCACCUAAUAUGAGCACGGUAGAGAGCAGUAACGAUGUCAGACAGCAAGAAAGAGUCAACAUAAGCUCAACUCGGAAAAAGGGUGAGCCUCGUGUUGAAAUUGGAGGAAUGGAUGAAAAUGAGCGGACAUUUAGUGCUGAAUUUGGACCAAUUGAACUUGGACAAUUUGAAUAUGGACAGAAUGAGGAUCCAGAUCUUGAAUUUCCAGUUAUGGAAGAUGUGACGACGGUAAAUCCUCUGAUGACAGGUGACUAUGAAGAAAGUACCCAAACCCAUGAGAUUACACAUUUAUAGUGACACCUAUUGGAGAAAAUGUUCCAGAUCUUUCAAUUACACAUUUAUAGUGACAUCUAUUGGAGAAAAUGCACCAGAUCUUUCAAUUACAUAUUUAUAGUGACAUAUAUUGGAGAAAAUGUUCCAGAUCUUUCAAUUACAUAUUUAUAGUGACAUAUAUUGGAGAAAAUUUACUAGAUCUUUCAAUUACACAUUUAUAGUGACAUCUUUAAUGUGUUAACGUGCCAGACCUUUCAAUUAAACAUUUAUAGUGACAUCUAUUGGAAUAAGUGUACCUACUCUUUCAAUUACUGAUUUAAAGUGACUUUAAAGUAAACAUGCCAGAUCUUUCAAUUAAACAUUUAUUGUGACAUCUAUUGGAGAAAAUGCUCCAUAUCUUUCAAUUAAACAUUUAUAAUGACAUCGUUUGGUGUUAAUGUGCCAGAUCUUUCAAUUAC
rnacentral:misc_RNA from 1 species